CGCGUAGGCGGCCUGAUAAGUCGGGGGUGAAAGCCUGUGGCUCAACCACAGAAUUGCCUUCGAUACUGUUAGGCUUGAGACCGGAAGAGGUAAGUGGAACUGCGAGUGUAGAGGUGAAAUUCGUAGAUAUUCGCAAGAACACCAGUGGCGAAGGCGGCUUACUGGUCCGGUUCUGACGCUGAGGCGCGAAAGCGUGGGGAGCAAACA
rnacentral:rRNA from 1 species